rnacentral:rRNA from 1 species
CAGUCGCCACGGGAAUACGUAGGUGGCAAGCGUUGUCCGGAAUUAUUGGGCGUAAAGCGCGCGCAGGCGGAUAGGUCAGUCUGUCUUAAAAGUUCGGGGCUUAACCCCGUGAUGAGAUGGAAACUGCCAAUCUAGAGUAUCGGAGAGGAAAGUGGAAUUCCUAGUGUAGCGGUGAAAUGCGUAGAUAUUAGGAAGAACACCAGUGGCGAAGGCGACUUUCUGGACGAAAACUGACGCUGAGGCGCGAAAGCCAGGGGAGCGAACGGGAUUAGAUACCCCAGUAGUCCCUGUCUCUUAUACA